rnacentral:rRNA from 1 species
GAUGAACGCUAGCGACAGGCUUAACACAUGCAAGUCGAGGGGCAGCGAGGGCGUAGCAAUACGCCUGUCGGCGACCGGCGCACUGGUGAGUAACACGUAUGCGACCUGCCCCCUACAGGGGUAUAACCCGUAGAAAUGCGGACUAAUCCCCCAUAGUCCUGAGUGCUGCAUGGCAUUCAGGGGAAAGGGUUUCCGGUAGGGGAUGGCCUCGCGUCUGAUUAGCUAGUUGGUGAGGUAACGGCCCACCAAGGCGACGAUCAGUAGCCGGACUGAGAGGUUGAACGGUCACAUUGGGACUGAGAUACGGCCCAGACUCCUACGGGAGGCAGCAGGUGGGGAAUUUUGCGCAAUGGGCGAAAGCCUGACGCAGCAACGCCGCGUGAUUGAUAAAGCCCUUCGGGGUGUAAAGAUCUGUCAGUGGGGACGAACAAUGACGGUACCCACAGAGGAAGCACCGGCUAACUCCGUG